rnacentral:rRNA from 1 species
CGGGUGAGUAACACGUAUGCAACCUGCCUGCCACAGCCGGAUAAUCGGGAGAAAUUCCGUCUAAUACGGCAUAAUGCAUCGACGGGACAUCCUGUUGGUGCCAAAGGUUGAUUCCGGUGGCGGAUGGGCAUGCGUCGCAUUAGUUAGUUGGCGGUGUAACGGACCACCAAGACGACGAUGCGUAGGGGUUCUGAGAGGAAGGUCCCCCACACUGGUACUGAGACACGGUCCAAACUCCUACGGGAGGCAGCAG